rnacentral:rRNA from 1 species
AACGCGAAGAACCUUACCUGGCCUUGACAUCUACGGAAUCCUGCAGAGAUGCAGGAGUGCCUUCGGGAGCCGUAAGACAGGUGCUGCAUGGCUGUCGUCAGCUCGUGUCGUGAGAUGUUGGGUUAAGUCCCGCAACGAGCGCAACCCUUGUCCUUAGUUGCCAUCAUUCAGUUGGGAACUCUAAGGAGACCGCCGGUGACAAACCGGAGGAAGGUGGGGAUGACGUCAAGUCAUCAUGGCCUUUAUGGCCAGGGCUACACACGUGCUACAAUGGCAAGUACAGAGGGAAGCCAACGCGCGAGCGGGAGCCAAUCCCAGAAAGCUUGUCGUAGUCCGGAUCGGAGUCUGCAACUCGACUCCGUGAAGUCGGAAUCGCUAGUAAUCGCAGAUCAGCAUUGCUGCGGUGAAUACGUUCCCGGGCCUUGUA